rnacentral:other from 1 species
ACGGUUAUAAAUCAACAUAUUGAUUUAUAACCAUGGAAAUCCCCUGAGUGAAACAACGAAUUGCUGUGUGUAGUCUUUGCCUAUCUCCCACGAUGGGCUUUUUUUUAA